rnacentral:rRNA from 1 species
UAUAGAGGUCUCGAGCGUUGUUCGGAUUCAUUGGGCGUAAAGGGUGCGUAGGCGGCGAGCUAAGUUUGGUGUGAAAUCCUGGGGCUUAACCUCAGAAAUGCACUGAAUACUGGUUUGCUAGAGGACUGGAGAGGAGAUUGGAAUUCACGGUGUAGCAGUGAAAUGCGUAGAUAUCGUGAGGAAGACCAGUGGCGAAAGCGAAUCUCUGGACAGUUCCUGACGCUGAUGCACGAAGGCUAGGGGAGCAAACGGG